rnacentral:lncRNA from 1 species
ACGGGGAGAGGCUGACUGGUGUGCACGAGCUGACACCCGGUGCCUUGCUCUUUGCCCUCCUGAGGAACUCUCUCUGCCACCGGUGACCGGAGAAGACGUGCACGGAGAACAUCUCAAUAUUCUUUACUCGUGUUUGAGGUUAUCCGCCACCAUGAAAGUUCAGCUGCUGAUCCUGUUGGCCCUGGCCGGUCCCUUCUGCGGCAUCACACGUGCCAGUCCCACCGGUCUCCCCGAAGAAAUGGGGGGCGUAACCGAGGUAACGCCUGAAAUCCCAGAGGAAGUGCACGAGGUGUUCACCGGGGCCCCCGCGACCGUACCAGCAGCUCUCCCCGCCGAAGUCACCACAGAAGCCAUCUCAGAGGUCGCCACGGAGACCGCCACGGAGACCACCCCAGAAAAAUCCACAGAGGCCACCGUAGAAGCCGACACACAGGCCGCCCUAGAGGUCGCCACCGGGGCGGCCACCGUAUCCGAAACAGAGGCUGCGACGGCGCAGGCGACCGUGGAAGACGCUUUCACCACCCAGGCCGCCCUCGUGGAGUCCACGACUGCGGAGACUCACUCGCCAGCGGAGGUGACGGAAGCGGCGGCUGAGACUACGGCAGAGGUCGACGCGGGGAAGACAGCGGCACCCACGGACAACCUUGUGGAUACUAGCACAAAGGUUGAUGGGCAAAUGGAGGGUGAGGAGGGUGAUGAAGGGAUGAGUUCGGGCCAGAUGGCCGGAGUGGUCAUCGGCGCCUUGAUCGCGAUCGUCAUCGUCAUCGCUGUGGUCUUCGCCCUCGUGAGGAGGAUGGGCAAAUACUCUCCAUGAAGGAAAGAAGGAAAAACAAAGAGGCAGGAGCGCCCAGAGUUCUGGAAAUUGUGAACUACUGAAAUGUGAUGUCAUUUCCUGUCAUUAAACAACCAUGCUAUCAGCACUAGUCAAGCACUAGUGUAUGUGUGUGUGUGUGUGUGU